AGCUAAUAGAUACCCAGGUAGUCCCAGCAGUAAACGGUGCGCGUUUGGUGUGAGCAGAUUCGACUCUGUUCGCGCCGGAGCUAACGCGUUAAACGCGCCGCCUGGGAAGUACGAUCGCAAGAUUAAAACUCAAAGAAAUUGACGGGGGCCCGCACAAGCGGUGGAGUAUGUGGCUUAAUUCGAUGCAACGCGAAGAACCUUACCUGGGUUUGACAUGCAUCUCUAAGGAGGUGAAAAGCUUCCGAGGGUAGCAAUACCCGAUUUGCACAGGUGCUGCAUGGCUGUCGUCAGCUCGUGUCGUGAGAUGUUGGGUUAAGUCCCGCAACGAGCGCAACCCUUGUAUGCUGUUGCUAUGCUUACGCAUAGCUCUCUGCGUAGACUGCCCCGUGAAACGGGGAGGAAGGUGGGGAUGACGUCAAGUCAGCAUGGCCCUUACACCCAGGGCUGCACACGUACUACAAUGCUCAGUACAAUUAGAACCUGCCCCGCGA
rnacentral:rRNA from 1 species